CCUACGGGGGGCUGCAGUGAGGAAUAUUGGUCAAUGGGCGCGAGCCUGAACCAGCCAAGUAGCGUGAGGGAUGACUGUCCUACGGGUUGUAAACUUCUUUUAUAAAGGAGUAAAGUGAGGCACGUGUGCCUUUUUGUAUGUACUUUAUGAAUAAGGAUCGGCUAACGCCGUGCCAGCAGCCGCGGUAAUACGGAGGAUCCGAGCGUUAUCCGGAUUUUUUGGGUUUAAAGGGAGCGUAGAUGGGUUGUUAAGUCAGUGGUGAAAGUUUGGGGCUCAACCGUCAAAUUGCAAUUGAUACUGGCAGCCUUGAGUGCGGGUGAGGUAGGCGGAAUGCGUGGUGUAGCGGUGAAAUGCAUAGAUAUCACGAAGAACUCCGAUUGCGAAGGCAGCCUACUAGACUGCAACUGACGUUGAUGCUCGAAAGUGUGGGUAUCAAACAGGAUUAGAUACCCUGGUAGUC
rnacentral:rRNA from 1 species